AAAAAAAAAAAAAAAAAGAAACUGUUUCUUGAUAGAAUAUCAAUUGAAUCUGUUGAAUAAUCUUCUAGUGCUUUCUUUAUGAAACUGUUUUAGAAAUUUUGGGUCCAUUUCCUCCCUUGGACAUAUGUUAAUUAUUUUUGAAGUUAUAGUUGUAUCUUUAACAUUUAAAUUCUUGAUUUUGACAAGUUUUCAUCCUUUGUUAUCAAGUUGGAUGUUCAAAUACAAGUUGUUAUUGAGAAUGAGUGCAUGUUUGGGGUUAUGUGAAUUUAUGCAUAUGAUCUUGUUUUGGAAUUAUUACCAAUAUGCUUCUUUGAUCACUGUUCUAUUUAAUCUGGCACCGAGUAUGGUAAACACAGAUGUAGUGACCAUAUGUAUACCUUUCAACCCACCAUUGAAAACAUGUGCUCACACCCUCACGGCCACAUAUAGGGGGUGAAGGAGGUGUGGAUGCAUUUGACACUGAAGUUAAAUGCAACA
rnacentral:misc_RNA from 1 species